GGGCACGUGCGCGUGCCUAUACAUGCAGUCGAACGCUUUGUCUUUAACUGAUAUGACGAGCUUGCUCUGAUUUGAUUUUAUCUGACAAAGAGUGGCGAACGGGUGAGUAACACGUGGGUAACCUACCUCUUAGCAGGGGAUAACAUUUGGAAACAAGUGCUAAUACCGUAUAAUACCAACAACCGCAUGGUUGUUGGUUGAAAGAUGGUUCUGCUAUCACUAAGAGAUGGACCCGCGGUGCAUUAGCUAGUUGGUAAGGUAACGGCUUACCAAGGCAAUGAUGCAUAGCCGAGUUGAGAGACUGAUCGGCCACAAUGGGACUGAGACACGGCCCAUACUCCUACGGGAGGCAGCAGUAGGGAAUCUUCCACAAUGGGCGCAAGCCUGAUGGAGCAACGCCGCGUGUGUGAUGAAGGGUUUCGGCUCGUAAAACACUGUUAUAAGAGAAGAACGGCACUGAGAGUAACUGUUCAGUGUGUGACGGUAUCUUACCAGAAAGGAACGGCUAAAUACGUGCCAGCAGCCGCGGUAAUACGUAUGUUCCAAGCGUUAUCCGGAUUUAUUGGGCGUAAAGCGAGCGCAGACGGUUAUUUAAGUCUGAAGUGAAAGCCCUCAGCUCAACUGAGGAAUGGCUUUGGAAACUGGAUGACUUGAGUGCAGUAGAGGAAAGUGGAACUCCAUGUGUAGCGGUGAAAUGCGUAGAUAUAUGGAAGAACACCAGUGGCGAAGGCGGCUUUCUGGACUGUAACUGACGUUGAGGCUCGAAAGUGUGGGUAGCAAACAGGAUUAGAUACCCUGGUAGUCCACACCGUAAACGAUGAGUGCUAGAUGUUCGAGGGUUUCCGCCCUUGAGUGUCGCAGCUAACGCAUUAAGCACUCCGCCUGGGGAGUACGACCGCAAGGUUGAAACUCAAAGGAAUUGACGGGGACCCGCACAAGCGGUGGAGCAUGUGGUUUAAUUCGAAGCAACGCGAAGAACCUUACCAGGUCUUGACAUCCCUUGCUAAUCCUAGAAAUAGGACGUUCCCUUCGGGGACAAGGUGACAGGUGGUGCAUGGUUGUCGUCAGCUCGUGUCGUGAAAUGUUGGGUUAAGUCCCGCAACGAGCGCAACCCUUAUUAUUAGUUGCCAGCAUUUAGUUGGGCACUCUAGUGAGACUGCCGGUGACAAACCG
rnacentral:rRNA from 1 species